rnacentral:lncRNA from 1 species
CGGAGAUUCCCGGUCGGAAUAUUAUCGCUUUUUUACCAGAAAAAUGGCAUAAAAAUGGAUUUUAAACAGCGGUUGACAUGCUUCGAAGUACGGUAAUGGAAUAUUUAGACAUUUUUUGUCACGAAUUGCGCCAUGCUCAUGACCCUGAUUUACCAUUUCGGAUAGUGUCUGGAACGCACGAACAAAACGCCGCUAUUUGGAUAUAACGAUGGAUUAUUUUGGACCAAACCAACAUUUGUUAUUGAAGUAGCAGUCGUGGGAGUGCAUUCUGACGAAGACAACAAAGAUAACUUGAAAAUGGGGUCGAUUACAGAAAGAGCCCAGGGAAGAUGAGUCGAAGUCGAAGUUGAAGCAGGAAUUGAGCACCCCAGCAGAAUGGGAUAACCUCAGCACAUAAGGACGGGGAGGAUUGCUAUUAGCUCUGUUCUCUGGACUGGAGGAGCAAGUGGUUCAGUCACUGUCUGUUCUCUGGACUGGAGGAGCAACUGGUUCAGUCACUGUCUGUUCUCUGGACUGGAG